rnacentral:rRNA from 1 species
UUAGAGUUUUGAAUCCUGGCUCAGAUUGAACGCUGGCGGCAGGCCUAACACAUGCAAGUCGAGCGGAUGAGUGGAGCUUGCUCCAUGAUUCAGCGGCGGACGGGUGAGUAAUGCCUAGGAAUCUGCCUGGUAGUGGGGGAUAACGUUUCGAAAGGAACGCUAAUACCGCAUACGUCCUACGGGAGAAAGUGGGGGAUCUUCGGACCUCACGCUAUCAGAUGAGCCUAGGUCGGAUUAGCUAGUUGGUGGGGUAAUGGCCCACCAAGGCGACGAUCCGUAACUGGUCUGAGAGGAUGAUCAGUCACACUGGAACUGAGACACGGUCCAGACUCCUACGGGAGGCAGCAGUGGGGAAUAUUGGACAAUGGGCGAAAGCCUGAUCCAGCCAUGCCGCGUGUGUGAAGAAGGUCUUCGGAUUGUAAAGCACUUUAAGUUGGGAGGAAGGGCAGUAAGUUAAUACCUUGCUGUUUUGACGUUACCAACAGAAUAAGCACCGGCUAACUUCGUGCCAGCAGCCGCGGUAAUACGAAGGGUGCAAGCGUUAAUCGGAAUUACUGGGCGUAAAGCGCGCGUAGGUGGUUCAGCAAGUUGGAUGUGAAAGCCCCGGGCUCAACCUGGGAAUUGCAUCCAAAACUACUGAGCUAGAGUACGGUAGAGGGUGGUGGAAUUUCCUGUGUAGCGGUGAAAUGCGUAGAUAUAGGAAGGAACACCAGUGGCGAAGGCGACCACCUGGACUGAUACUGACCACUGAGGUGCGAAAGCGUGGGAGCAA